UCUCCGUAGGUGAACCUGCGGAGGGAUCAUUACUGAGUGAGGGCUCCGGCCCGACCUCCAACCCCAUGUGAACACAACUUGUUGCUUCGGGGGCGACCCUGCCGUUUCGACGGCGAGCGCCCCCGGAGGCCUUCAAACACUGCAUCUUUGCGUCGGAGUAUCAAUCAAAUUGAACAAAACUUUCAACAAUGGAUCUCUUGGUUCUGGCAUCGAUGAAGAACGCAGC
rnacentral:misc_RNA from 1 species